rnacentral:lncRNA from 1 species
CCGAGAGGGCGCGCCCUAGGGAGGGACGUGACCUCUUCAAGACUAGUGAGCUCCUUCCUGAGUAUGUUUGUCUUCACAAAAUAUCAUAUGAAGCAAUUAAUGCAUCAGACAUACCAGAGGGCGCGCCCUGUCAGAGGGAGGCGCGCAAUUCGUUCUCUUGAUAGAAUACUGGUUGGAUAUGGCGUACCCCUUUAGGAGGGCGCGCCUUGUUGGAGGAAAGUGCGACUACUCCUCACGGAGAAGAGGUGUAUUCCUCAUAAAGGUAACACCAUAUUACCUGUGAAUUUAUACAUGUAGUAGUCUUAGGGAACCAAAUAUUGAGGGAGUUUAGUAUUUACCUGAGGGCGCGCCCGGUCAGGGGAAGGCGCGCACCCUUACGACUUUUCGAGCUAGGUUCCAUCUGAAUAGCUCGCCCCCCGUAACUUUCCCUAGAGGCGCGCCCUGGCAAGGGAAGGCGCGACUUCUUCGAAAAUGUUAAAGGGUGCAUCCCUCAUGGUGGUGGUCGAACACCACGUUACCUGUAGUUUUCAACGUGCCAUACUUCUAGAGAAUGCAGUAACGAGGAGGUUUAGAGUAGAGUUUACCUGGAGGCGCGCCCUGUUAGGGGGAGGCGCGCUCUUUGAAACUUUUCAAGCUUCGCUCCAUUUGAAUAACUCUCCGCUCGUAACUUUCCCUUUCAUAUCAUUAUCUGCGGUCAGGUCUUCAACACGUGCCUCUCGUGAACCUCAAAUUACUUGCUCUGGGGAGGGCGCGCCCCUUCAGAAAACCGUUGAGGCUUCCAGGGAGGCGAUCUCCUUCUCGUAAAGACUCAAACCACAACAGACUUGUUAGCAAUAACAUGCGAAAGCAUUGUGAGAAUCUUACCCGGAGGUGCGCCUUCUUCGGAGAUGUCAGGGAAUUCAUUCCUCACGGUGGUAGUCGAGCACCACAUCAUUUGGAGGUGUACCCUGUCCGGGGGGAGGUGUACUCUGUCCGGGGGAGGUAUACCUUGUCCGGGGGAGGUGUACUCUGUCCGGGGGAGGUGUACUCUCUUCGUAGGUGUUAGGUCUCCGAAAAUCGCAUCCUUCGCUGACUCCCCGGUCCAGAAUACCUUGUUCGCAUAUUAGGUUACCUCCUAGAAUUUCGUUGAUGAUCGUCCUCCUUCAAACUCCCGAUGGAGAUAUCGUCCUUUUCUGGAGAAGUAGAUGAAGGUCUCCUCUUCUCUUGUGUUCUAGCCAUCGCCCUCCCGGAAAAUGCUCCGCCUCUACGUGCGAAUCUCCGUCAUGUGACAUCUCUUCCUCCUAAGAUGAAGAUCUUGAAUAGCCCCUCCUUCUAGCGCCAAUUUGUUGAUAGAGGAAUUUGGUAAUCAACAAAGAUGAGGUUCAUGGCCGGAAUCAAGAUCCGUGACGGUGGUUUUGGUCGCCGGAGAGUGGUGGUUGUUUGUUUUAGGGGGUGGCUGAGAUUAGGGUUUUGAGUUGGUCUCACGUGCUCUCAACUCAUGAUCCCCCAAUGUGCCUACGUACC